GUGACGUAAAUGGGAGAUCGGAGUCUAAAGGUUGUGCAGCAAGAGACCUGUGCUCAGCGCUGAAGAGAUUUACAUUUCCUUUACCUGACUCCUCAAGAGGGAUCUGUAAUACAGUCAUCUUACUGCUCAGACAUGCUACUUAUGUGCAAACAUUGGAGUUUUACUUUUCGCAUGAAAUCUUACAGUGGACAAGAAAGGAGUUUUACACUGACGACCUAUUCUCUGGGUGCUCCAUCCUUCUCCUGACCUCUGCUCGGGUCUGGCCUCCAGACUCCUUUGUACCACACCGCAGGCAACAGUCUGGCUGCUAGGUCUAUUCUUGUGUGUGGAUAAGAGCCUAUUUAUUGAACAUCACAGUGCAGUUCUGCAAGAGUUAAUUCCUGUUUUGCUCUGUGUGCAGCUGCUUGGCUAAUCAGCAAAUAUCAGCUGUACUAUAUAUGCUAGGAUGUUUGUUCCUCCCUUUGCCUGAUCAAUUUACUUAGUUCUCACUAGCUUGCUAGGAUCUGUAAAAAAAUAGAUAUAAUCUCUCUGCCCAUAAUUUGUUUGUCUGCCUGGGUGCCAACUUUUGCCUGGUCCCUGAUUUAUGACUCUCUGCGGCCUGAUUUGACCCGUGCCUUUUUUUCUGUUUUAAACCGGUGCUACCUCCCCUGACCUCUGGACUGUUUCACAGAUUUGCACUACUCUGCUUGCCCAGUCCUCUGCCUGUUUCCUGACUAAGAUUAUUGCCUGAUCCAUCCAUGCUUUGCACCAGUGUCUCUCACCCAGUAGGUGAGCAGCCAACCACAAUGGGACUAUUACAAGAGUUAGCAGUCUGGUGGCUCCCCUGCUACGGCGGCCAGAUCCCUGUAUAAGGGUUAAAGGGUUACAACCAGGGGAUUGCCAGGAUAAUGCUCUCAGGACUAGCCCAAAGUCAAACCAGUUGGUUGGCACAGUGAGUCCACACUCACUGCCUGUAGCAACUGGCCUAAUGAACAAACAUGACAAUGCUCUUUCCUGAACAUUAGUCUAUGUAAACAUGAUAGUGAUCAGCCAUCAAGUGAGCAAAUGCUUGUUUAUCAUUGACCACAUCUUGUAUUCAGGCCUAAAAAAAAUCUACAAAAUAUGUCAAACAACUGAACAAUCAUUUGUCCCCAUAGCAUUUACAUUGGCCUAUGGAAAAAGCCAGUUGAAUGAGCAUUGAUCGACUUUUUAUAUCUUUAGUCAGGCACUCGUUAUUGUCUGGCAUCAGCCCAUGUAAACAAGCCCUCAAAUUUCUGAUGAUACUCUUAGUCCUCAUGCACACAAACGUUUUUCCGUUUC